UACAGAGGGUGCAAGCGUUGUUCGGAAUCACUGGGCGUAAAGCGCGCGUAGGCGGCUUUUCAAGUCAGGGGUGAAAUCCCACGGCUCAACCGUGGAAUUGCCUUUGAAACUGUUAAGCUGGAGUAUUGGAGGGGAUAGCGGAAUUCCUAAUGUAGAGGUGAAAUUCGUAGAUAUUAGGAGGAACACCGGUGGCGAAGGCGGCUAUCUGGACAAUUACUGACGCUGAAGUGCGAAAGCGCGGGGAUCAAACAGG
rnacentral:rRNA from 1 species